UACGUAGGUGGCAAGCGUUGUCCGGAUUUACUGGGCGUAAAGAGCGCGCAGGCGGCUGGUCAAGUCCGAUGUGAAAUCUCCCGGCUUAACUGGGAAACUGCAUCGGAAACUGAUCGGCUUGAAGGUGGGAGAGGGUAGUGGAAUUCCCGGUGUAGUGGUGGAAUGCGUAGAUAUCGGGAGGAACACCAGUGGCGAAGGCGGUUGCCUGGAGCUUUGCUGACGCUGAGGCGCGAAAGCGUGGGGAGCGAUCCGG
rnacentral:rRNA from 1 species